UGGCAAUCAGAAACCAGCUUUUUAGACCAUUUUCCAUGUCCAUAUCAGUUUGGAAAUGAUUGCAAAAUUAAAUGUGAUUUUGUGCUACGUGUGCGGCUAUUAAUGUGAGCUGCACUCAUUUGCACAAUACUUCGACAGU
rnacentral:snoRNA from 2 species